rnacentral:rRNA from 1 species
GACGAACCGUGCGAACGUUGUUCGGAAUCACUGGGCUUAAAGGGCGCGUAGGCGGGCUGACAAGUCUGGGGUGAAAUGCCGCGGCUCAACCGUGGAACUGCCUUAGAUACUGUCGGCCUCGAGGGAGGUAGGGGCAUGCGGAACUGUGGGUGGAGCGGUGAAAUACAUAGAGAUGUCAUAGAACACCGAUUGCGAAGGCAGCUCACAAAACUGUAACUGACGCUGAGGCACGAAAGUGCGGGGAUCAAACAGG